rnacentral:misc_RNA from 1 species
UCUCCGUUGGUGAACCAGCGGAGGGAUCAUUACCGAGUGCAAACUCAUAACCCUUUGUGAACCUAUAUCUGUUGCUUCGGCGGCUCGCCCGAGAGCGAGCCCGCCGGUAAUAUCAGUAUCUCUGUUUGAACCCGACGAUACUUCUGAGUGUUCUUAGCGAACAGUUAAAACUUUUAACAACGGAUCUCUUGGCUCUA